GCUUUCCAAAGAAGUGCUGGGCGCCCAGCGGGGCGGGUAUUGGCCGGCCCGGGACAUCUGAGCUGCUCUUUCCUGGCCCUGGUGCCCCUCUCUGUGUCCACACCCAUCCACCCAGUCAUCUACCGCAGCCGGAGCAAUAGAGCUGGCCUCCCACACCUGGGUUUCCCAAAAGGAUCUCCUAGGUCCUAAAGUCCUGCAACCGUGAGGUCACCAGCCUCUGUUCAUAAAUCUGUAAGAGGGCCGCCACACAAUCAGUGUAAAUAGAAAUAAGGAAAGCCAAGUGUGGUGGAGUCACUUUCUACACGCUUCUUUUCUAGAGUGGACCUGCUGGCCCAGCUCCUAGCAAUGGAGGAGUAGGGAGGGUGGAGAUGACAGCAGUGGGCCCAGCCCCUCCUGGAAGGACCCACCCAGCUGCCAAGCCUGCAUCCUAAACCUUCAAGCUGUCCCCAACACCUCACUGGAAGCCUGUCCACAGUUGGCCACCCCAUAUGAAACCUUGGAGGGGAAAGGCUGAAAUGAUCACCCCAUCAAGAAAGUGAAAAGACAACCCACAGAAUGGAAGAAAAUAUUUGCAAAUCAUAUUUAAGGGACUUGUAUCAAGAAUGUAUAAAGAGGGCUUCCCUGGUGGCGCAGUGGUUAAGAA